AUACGGAGGCUGCAAGCGUUAUCCGGAUUCAUUGGGUUUAAAGGGUGUGCAGGCGGACUUGUAAGUCAGUGGUGAAAUCCCGGGGCUCAACCUCGGAACUGCCAUUGAUACUGCAAGUCUUGAGUUUGGUUGAAGUGGGCGGAAUGUAGCAUGUAGCGGUGAAAUGCAUAGAUAUGCUACAGAAGACCGAUCGCGAAGGCAGCUCACUAACCAACACUGACGCUCAGGCACGAAAGCGUGGGGAGCGAACAGGAUUAGAAACCCCAGUAGUCC
rnacentral:rRNA from 1 species